CUCAAAACUGGCGGUUCGUUCCAAGUGGGAAACGGUUGCCGCCCAAAUGUUCACUAACAGCAAGUGGGACACAUUGGAUCCAGUUUCUUCAGCUGUGCCACACAUUUCACUGCGCGUUGAUGACGAUCCCGACGACGGUGGAGGCAGCAAGGACGACCAAGCUCGCCGGCUGACAAUGCGCGAGAUUGAGGAGAAGAUCGUCCAGUAUCAGGAUUAGUUUGAGUACGCCAUGAGGCAGGUGCGCGACGACUGGAACUUCGGCGAAGAAAUCGCUCACUACCGGCGAUCCUCGCCGUCCGAGUACGUACCACGAACAAUUCGUCCCGCCGGCCCAGUUCCCCCCUCUACUCCAGCAGAAGCCGCAGCAAGCGCGAAGCGUCCCUUUCAUUGCUUCAAACCAGCAGAAAGUCCACCCAUCGGUGAGGACUUUCAGAAUGGACAGAUUUCGGGCGAAGGUCGAGCAGAUUUAUCAACCAAUUUCUGAUGCAAUCGUUCUCGUCGCUGAUUACAUUUAGUGUUUCAUGCCCACCAUGGCCGCAACGGACGUGGACCAAGAAAAGGACACCGGAUAGGCGGAUUAAGCGGAAAGAAAUCCCCAGCAACAAGGUAACACACAGAAAUCUCAGAUGGAGUUUGAGACGGAAUCGUCCAAGGCAGCGACGGUCAUGACGUUGAGAACGGCUGGACUACCCUGGAAGAAUCCAUCGGUGUGUGUUAUUGAUUGUGGAACGGCCAACGAGUUCGUUGAAACCGAGUUUAGCGGAGAACAAUUCGUCGUUGCUGGAUCGAUUUGGUUUCCGGAAGAUCCGGCGCCAGCGGGAUGACGGUGGAACGGUGUUGUCGGAAUCUGAGCUGGAACCGCAACAGGCUGUCUUGUUGGCUAAACGAACAGAAGAUGUACGGAUGACGACCAGGUAAAUUCUUCGCAAUUCAAAAAGAUAUUUUUUUUUUCUAAUUCUAGAAUUCCGUUUCUAACGCAACAACCGGUACGUACACGGAAUCGGUUGCUGCGAUUGAGGCGGAAUUCGUAAACGAUCCAAAUUGAAUUCCGUUUAAGAAUUCCGAUUGAUUUGACUGCGAUGGACUUUUUGUUGACACUUUGAGUUGACCCAUUUACAUUGUUAAAAAUAAUGUUUAUUUUGUUCUGUCAAACAGUUCAUCAUGCUCACCCUCAAGUAAAAAUCAACUAGGGGAAAUAUACCCAUUUUAAUCACCUCAAGCCGUUCGACUAAUUCUCAUCACUUUUGAAGUUUUCCGCUAUUAAAUCAACGUUUUUAGAUACAUCAACAAUGGAGAGUUGCUUGCUCACUUUUAUUUGAGCUAUUUGUUACUUUGGAUUGUCUGUGCUUUGGAACAGCCAAAAACAAUUUAUGAAAGCUGGAAUUCAUGACCAAAGUGUAGAUAGGCCGAUAAUAGAAAUAGGCUGAGAAAGAGUAUAUUUCCCCUAAUAGGUCACGAUGGCUCUUUUGAAACUUGAUACGAGAUUUUAGUUUCUCUGCUUUGCUGAAAAAUUUAACUGUCAAUGUUGAUUAUGAUUAUAAUUAUUAUUAUUUAAAUUUUCUUUAUUUAUUUUCAGAAAACAGCAACAUAAGAUCAACAUAACUCAAGAAUGUACUUUAUUCAACGUAGUGAGGAAUAUCACCAGCCACGUAUUGGACAAAAAAGAUAAGUGAACAUUUUUAUCAUGGUGUAAACUAGAGAUUUGGCGAAUUGUUUUUAUUUACAGGUGUGUCCCUCAGUUACGCUUCGGACCUGAACCUGAUUUUUGAAGCAGCGGUGUUACCGUAGAAGACGGUGUAGCACGACAGCGCAACUUCCCAUCGGCAGAACUCCAAUUUAAGCAAAAUCGGCAGCUGAAGUUUAUGUCAAACCUGGACCCAUUUCACUAGACCGACAACUUUCACAGAAUGGCAGAGAUGGAGCUGUUCGAGGAUUGGCUUCUGCGAUUGCUACUAAAAUUCUGGACGAGGUUUACUGCCACUCGAAGCCAAUCUGUUCCAUAUGUAAUUUUGUCAAAUUUGAGUUAAUGAUAUUAGUCCUAAAUCAUGUGAACUAUCAGAAAACUAAUAAUAUUGAGUACUUUAUUCCAGAAAACGAAGAUAGUCACACUUUUUCGUGAAAUCCUAACACUUAGCCUUAAGGGCGGGACACAUUUGCAUUACGUUUUUCUCAGCUUGUUGUUUUUACAAAUGGAAUGGACUAGAUUCGAGCGGCAGUUUACAACCUAGUUCAACCCUGUGCUGCAUGAGAUGUCUCAUUGAGCUAUGAUGUUAGAAUUAUAUAAAAAAAAAACACUUUUUCUAAGAUCAUAUUGUAUUUUUUUCCCUUAUGUUGAAUAAGUCACUUCUUUAGGCACUCGCGCCCUCUGAAAUAAACAGCUACAGCAAGGUAUUAGGAUAAUUUAUGAACCAAUAUAACGAAUCGAAUAAAGAAAUUAUUUGGCCAAAGUAAAACAAAUGAGAUUUUUGCUCAAUAUUCCGAAAAAUCCUUCCUAAAAUGAUGUUAUUUCAAACUGUUAUAAUAAUUUCCCAAAUUGUAA